GAUGAACGCUGGCGGCGUGCCUAAUACAUGCAAGUCGAGCGAACGGACGAGAAGCUUGCUUCUCUGAUGUUAGCCGCGGACGGGUGAGUAACACGUGGAUAACCUACCUAUAAGACUGGGAUAACUUCGGGAAACCGUAGCUAAUACCGGAUAAUAUUUUGCACCGCAUGGUUCAAAAGAGAAAGACGGUCUUGCUGUCACGUAUAGAUGGAUCCGCGCUGCAUUAGCUAGUUGGUAAGGUAACGGCUUACCAAGGCAACGAUGCGUAGCCGACCGGAGAGGGUGGUCGGCCACACUGGAACUGGGACGCGGUCCAGGGUCCUACGGGACGCAGCAGUAGGGAAUCUUCCGCAAUGGUCGAAAGCCUGACGGAGCAAGCCCGCGUGAGUGAUAAAGGUCUUCGGAUCGUAAAACUCUGUUUUUAGGGAAGAACAUAUGUGUAAGUAACUGAGCACAUCUUGACGGUACCUAGUCAGAAAGCCCCGGCUAACUACGUG
rnacentral:rRNA from 1 species